rnacentral:rRNA from 1 species
AGUGAACGCUGGCGGUAGGCCUAACACAUGCAAGUCGAACGGCAGCACGGGAGCAAUCCUGGUGGCGAGUGGCGAACGGGUGAGUAAUGUAUCGGAACGUGCCCAGUCGUGGGGGGUAACGUAGCGAAAGCUACGCUAAUACCGCAUACGAUCUGUGGAUGAAAGCGGGGGACCGUAAGGCCUCGCGCGAUUGGAGCGGCCGAUAUCAGAUUAGGUAGUUGGUGGGGUAAAGGCCUACCAAGCCGACGAUCUGUAGCUGGUCUGAGAGGACGACCAGCCACACUGGGACUGAGACACGGCCCAGACUCCUACGGGAGGCAGCAGUGGGGAAUUUUGGACAAUGGGCGCAAGCCUGAUCCAGCAAUGCCGCGUGCAGGAUGAAGGCCUUCGGGUUGUAAACUGCUUUUGUACGGAGCGAAAAGGCUCUCUCUAAUACAGGGGGCUCAUGACGGUACCGUAAGAAUAAGCACCGGCUAACUACGUGCCAGCCGCCGCGGUAA